UACGGAGGAUGCAAGCGUUAUCCGGAAUGAUUGGGCGUAAAGCGUCCGCAGGUGGAACAACAAGUCUAGUGUCAAAGACCGGGGCUCAACCCCGGGUCGGCGGUAGAAACUGUUGAACUAGAGGGUCGUAGGGGUAGAGGGAAUUCCCAGUGUAGCGGUGAAAUGCGUAGAGAUUGGGAAGAACAUCGGUGGCGAAGGCGCUCUACUGGACGGCACCUGACACUAAGGGACGAAAGCUAGGGGAGCGAAUGGG
rnacentral:rRNA from 1 species